GCAGUGGGGAAUAUUGCACAAUGGGGGAAACCCUGAUGCAGCCAUGCCGCGUGUGUGAAGAAGGCUUUCGGGUUGUAAAGCACUUUCAGCGAGGAGGAAAGGGUAUUGCUUAAUACGUAAUAUCUGUGACGUUACUCGCAGAAGAAGCACCGGCUAACUCCGUGCCAGCAGCCGCGGUAAUACGGAGGGUGCAAGCGUUAAUCGGAAUUACUGGGCGUAAAGCGCGCGUAGGUGGUUAAUUAAGUCAGAUGUGAAAGCCCAGGGCUCAACCUUGGAACUGCAUUUGAAACUGGUUAACUAGAGUUUUGUAGAGGGUGGUAGAAUUUCAGGUGUAGCGGUGAAAUGCGUAGAGAUCUGAAGGAAUACCAGUGGCGAAGGCGGCCACCUGGACAAAGACUGACACUGAGGCGCGAAGGCGUGGGGAGCAAACGGGAUUAGAUACCCCGGUAGUCCACGCAGUAAACGAUGUCUAUUAGAAGUUUGUGGCUAUAUGCCGUGGGUUUCAAAGCUAACGCAUUAAAUAGACC
rnacentral:rRNA from 1 species